UGGUGGACAAUCAAAGCUGGAGCCAGAGAGAUUACCUCAGGAACUGGGCAAUGCGCGCCAUGACGGCUCCGGCCCCGGGCUGAAGCACAUUGCCUGUGGACAGAAGAGCCCUUUCUCAGCACCUGGUGGGGCCUAAGAGCGUUUUGCAAUCAACACUGCAAGGCAAGACCUCCUAAGUCUUCUGGGUUUCUGGACACAAGCCAGGAUAACCGUCCUCCGAACACCGCCAUUGCACUCUCAGAUGAAAGGCAAGCGGUUCUGGAGCCAAGGCAACAGCUUUACCCUAUGGAGACGAAGACGGAGGAGGUCUCGACUCUAAAUUGGCUCUCUUCUCUCCUGGGUCCGCUGGAAACUUAAGCACCUUUGGAUUCCUGGCCCUGUUCUUGGGCAGCUUGCUGAUCGGAAGAAGCCAUUUUAUCAAGGCACUGACCAUGGUCUCAGAAAGUGUCCCAUGGGUCUCAACACCUCUUUGCAGCUGCUUGAGAUGCUCUUAUUAGUGAUGAACAGCCCUGCACCCCCGUUCCCCAACCCCCUUAGCAAGGCCUUAAAGGAAGCCGCAGGAUGACUGGCAAGUUAGCUCAUCAAUGACUUCCUGCUGAGUGAAUGAAUCGGGUUCCCUGGAUCUAGAAUGUAUUACCACCCUUAAAGAGUGAGACCAGGUUCCCCAACCAAGGCAACAGGUCAGCCCCAAACCAGACCCCAGGAGAGCCCAAAACACAAAAGGAGAGGAGGCUGGGAGAGGGCUCAGAGGGUAAAAGUGCUAGCCCCACAAGCAUGAGGUCAGAGGUCAGGUCCCCACUGUGCACAUCAACCCUGGCCCUGUGACCUUAGUGCAGGUAUGGAAGGCAGAGGCUCCUGGGGCAAGGCGGCUGCCUAGACCAGUCACAUCCUUGUGUUCCAGGUUCAGAAAGAGACCCUGCCUCAAAACAACAAAGCGGAGAGGGGUCCAGGAUGACACCCAACAUCAGCCUCUGGCCUCCACCUGUGCCCACAUACACUUGAGCAUAUAUACUCACAGCAACACACACAUACAUGAGCGAGCACAAGAGGCCUUCCCGCCCCCACCUCCAAGCGCACGCACUGGCUGCCCAUUUUCCUAAGAGCAGGGCUGCACGCUCUUUAGACACCCCAGAGGGCAGGCAGCAUCGUGCCUCCUCACUGGUGUCCUCCCCACCAUCUUCCAGGGAGGGACUUUGUGAAGCCUGUGACCCCAUCAGCUCCCUGGAUGCAUGUACACACCACAGCCCACGAGUGCACACUGCUAGGCCUAGGAUAGACGUGAGUACAGGCCUGAGAAGAAGUGAGAUCUCGUGUUUCAUUGUUUUUGUUCGUUGUUUCUUGUAACUGGAUCACACGGAUGCUGAACGCGAAUGUUGUAAAUGACAAUGCCUUGCCCCAAUGUCAAAACACUGAGUUCUUCCGCAGUGAGCAAAGCCGGAGAGGUUCAGAGGGACAGGCUCGUCCCUCCACAGCCAGGGUGGAGGGACCACAAAGAACCACGUCACUGGUCCCAGAGACCUCAAAUGGAAGUGUGGGAGCCCAGGGCUUUGUACAUGCUAGGUACCCGUGUGUCUCUGUGAGGUGAGGCUUUUCCAUCUGUCCUCACCGCCAGUCUCUGGGGCACUCCAGCCUUUCUCAGUAUAUCGGGCGCUCAGCAGCUGUUUGAUGAAGUCGGGGACACAGCAGAAGGUGACAGCAAAUGUAUAAGGCAAUUAGGGGGACCUGUCAGGCGUUCACCAGGAUUCAUCUGCCUAGAAGAUUGCUGCAGAGCAUGGUCUGAGCACUCAGGAGAGGACCUCAGUGUGCUGCUCUAUAAAAGGGAUCAAGUAACUCAGAUGUAUGGGUAUUUGAGAGGAUUUCCGGAGGUCACAGCCAUAGCGGACAACAUGGAAGUUUUCAUGUGAUGACGCUGCCAGAGGCCUCUCAAAGCAGAAAGCGUUCAGUUAAUGUGGCAAGCCGUGGCUAUUAAGUUGCCGCACCUAGAACAUGGCACCCACCGGAUGUACUGACUGCUGAUAAACAAGUCCAUGUUUGGUCAAGGCGAGUGUUGCACUGGCCCAUUGGCUGCCUGCUGCAGGUCUGAUGAGUGAGCGUGGUUGGCUGUGAUUGGCUGAUGUGGUUGCCUAUAUAAUUGGGAAGGGCCCGGGGUACGGUGGGGGAAGAAGAAGCUUGCAAAUGCCUGAAUAAACUGCUUGAGGAAGA